CCUACGGGUGGCAGCAGUGAGGAAUAUUGGUCAAUGGGCGGAAGCCUGAACCAGCCAAGUAGCGUGCAGGAUGACGGCCCUACGGGUUGUAAACUGCUUUUAUACGGGAAUAACGCGCCUUACGUGUAGGGCUUUGCAUGUACCGUAUGAAUAAGGACCGGCUAAUUCCGUGCCAGCAGCCGCGGUAAUACGGAAGGUCCGGGCGUUAUCCGGAUUUAUUGGGUUUAAAGGGUGCGUAGGCGGACGGUCAAGUCAGCGGUAAAAAUGCGGUGCUCAACGCCGUACAGCCGUUGAAACUGGCAGUCUUGAGUGGGCGAGAAGUAUGCGGAAUGCGUGGUGUAGCGGUGAAAUGCAUAGAUAUCACGCAGAACUCCGAUUGCGAAGGCAGCAUACCGGCGCCCUACUGACGCUGAGGCACGAAAGCGUGGGUAUCGAACAGGAUUAGAUACCCUUGUAGUC
rnacentral:rRNA from 1 species